UCAUACAAGGGGCCCAAAUUAACUGUAACACGGCGUAAAGCGUGACACUAUGCUAUCACCCCAACUAGGACCAAAAUGCAACUGAGCUGUCAUACGCCCAUGAUGCACUUAAAGCCAGCCUAAAAACGAUCCUAGCCCCAACGAUCAAUUAACCGUCACGAAAGCUAGAAUACAAACUGGGAUUAGAUACCCCACUAUGCCUAGCCCUAAAUCCUGAUACUUUCCAUACCAAAGUAUUCGCCCGAGAACUACGAGCACAAACGCUUAAAACUCUAAGGACUUGGCGGUGCCCCAAACCCACCUAGAGGAGCCUGUUCUAUAAUCGAUAACCCACGAUGCACCCGACCACUCCUUGCCCAAGGCAGCCUACAUACCGCCGUCGCCAGUUCACCUUCCCUGAAAGAAUAACAGUGAACACAACAGCCUAGCCCGCUAACAAGACAGGUCGAGGUAUAGCCCAUGGGGUGGAAGAAAUGGGCUACAUUUUCUAUCAUAGAAAACCACGGACAGAGGCGUGAAACCUCCUCUAGAAGGCGGAUUUAGCAGUAAAGAAGGAUAAUAAAGCCUCCUUUAAACCGGCCCUGGAGCACGUACAUACCGCCCGUCACCCUCCUCAACAAGCUACAUAUCCCAAUGAUACUUAAUACACAAACUAGCUAGAGAUGAGGUAAGUCGUAACAAGGUAAGUGUACCGG
rnacentral:rRNA from 1 species